rnacentral:rRNA from 1 species
GAUGAACGCUGACAGAAUGCUUAACACAUGCAAGUCAACUGGUGGCAGACGGGUGAGUAAGGCGUAAAGAACUUGCCUCACAGGUAGGGUCAACAUUUGGAAACGAAUGCUAAUACCCAAUACUGUGAGAGAGCUUUGCGUCCGAUUAGCUAGUUGGAGAGGUAACGGCUCACCAAGGCGAUGAUGGGUAGCCGGCCUGAGAGGGUGAUCGGCCACAAGGGGACUGAGGCACGGCCCUUACUCCUACGGGAGGCAGCAGUGGGGAAUAUUGGACAAUGGGCCACAGUCUGAUGCAGCAAUUCUGUGUGCACGAUAAAGUUGUCGGAAUGUAAAGUGCUUUCAGUAGGGAAGCGGUACCAACAGAAGAAGUGACGGCUAAAUACGUGCCAGCAGCCGCGGUAAUUC